rnacentral:rRNA from 1 species
UACGAACUGUGCAACCGUUAUUCGGAAUCACUGGGCGUAAAGGGUGCGUAGGCGGCUUGGUGGGUCUGGUGUGAAAGCCCCGGGCUCAGCCCGGGAAGGGCACUAGAAACUGCCGAGCUGGAGUGCCGGAGGGGAGAGUGGAAUUCCUGGUGUAGCGGUGAAAUGCGUAGAUAUCAGGAGGAAUACCGGUGGCGAAAGCGACUCUCUGGACGGCAACUGACGCUGAGGCACGAAAGCGUGGGGAGCAAACAGG